rnacentral:rRNA from 1 species
GCAGUCGAGCGAGCUGAACAACAGAUUCACUUCGGUGAUGACGUUGGGAACGCGAGCGGCGGAUGGGUGAGUAACACGUGGGGAACCUGCCCCAUAGUCUGGGAUACCACUUGGAAACAGGUGCUAAUACCGGAUAAGAAAGCAGAUCGCAUGAUCAGCUUAUAAAAGGCGGCGUAAGCUGUCGCUAUGGGAUGGCCCCGCGGUGCAUUAGCUAGUUGGUAGGGUAACGGCCUACCAAGGCAAUGAUGCAUAGCCGAGUUGAGAGACUGAUCGGCCACAUUGGGACUGAGACACGGCCCAAACUCCUACGGGAGGCAGCAGUAGGGAAUCUUCCACAAUGGACGAAAGUCUGAUGGAGCAACGCCGCGUGAGUGAAGAAGGUUUUCGGAUCGUAAAGCUCUGUUGUUGGUGAAGAAGGAUAGAGGUAGUAACUGGCCUUUAUUUGACGGUAAUCAACCAGAAAGUCACGGCUAACUACGUGCCAGCAGCCGCGGUAAUACGUAGGUGGCAAGCGUUGUCCGGAUUUAUUGGGCGUAAAGCGAGCGCAGGCGGAAGAAUAAGUCUGAUGUGAAAGCCCUCGGCUUAACCGAGGAACUGCAUCGGAAACUGUUUUUCUUGAGUGCAGAAGAGGAGAGUGGAACUCCAUGUGUAGCGGUGGAAUGCGUAGAUAUAUGGAAGAACACCAGUG